UACGUAGGGUGCAAGCGUUAAUCGGAAUACUAGGCGUAAAGCGUGCGCAGGCGGUGAUGUAAGACAGUUGUGAAAUCCCCGGGCUCAACCUGGGAACUGCAUCUGUGACUGCAUCGCUGGAGUGCGGCAGAGGGGGAUGGAAUUCCGCGUGUAGCAGUGAAAUGCGUAGAUAUGCGGAGGAACACCGAUGGCGAAGGCAAUCCCCUGGGCCUGCACUGACGCUCAUGCACGAAAGCGUGGGGAGCAAACAGG
rnacentral:rRNA from 1 species